rnacentral:lncRNA from 1 species
GACAACCUUCUGUGGUAAGGGGUGAACAUCCUUGGGAAGCCACAGAGAGCAAGGCGCAGUUUUUCAUUGAUCACCACUUUCAAGAUGCUCCCAGAAUCGUGCUGUCUAGGAAGCCAUUUAAACUGGUGAGAAGCCAUCCUCUCUUGAAUGGGGGCUCCCACUGUACAUCUGGCACCCACUUCACAGAUUCUGGGGGAUGUCAACACCAGCACUGCUGAGCUGUGUGACCUUGAGCAAGACAGUUAGCCUCUCUGAACCUCAGUGUCCUUCUCUGUAGGCUGGAGAUUGAUAUACCUUCAUUAUCGGGGUAUGAGAGUGUUAUAAGGUGGGAUGGUGGAACACGCUGACUGGUCUGGGCUAUUCAAGAUCCAUGAACUGGAAGAUGCUUUCUUAUAACUCAGAGAAAAGAGAUGAAAAUGAAUCAAAGAACAGGAAGGAGACAAGCUCAGGAGAGUCACCCUAAGAAGGAUGUGUGGAAGACUUGACUGGAGGAUCAAAAUGUGUCGGGGGAAGGUGUACAAGGAGGAGUAAGGACACAGAUGUCCUGACUUCACACAGUGGGGGAUUAGAAGCCACCAUCAAACACAGAUGAAACAGGAAUAAAAGUAGUAGUACAUUACUUAAGCUUUAAAAGGGUAAGACUCCUGGGAAUUUGGAAGCUGAGACUUGAGGCAAGUAUUUAGGAUUUGCUGUCUCACCUCCCUGCUAUGACAGUCCUUAAUUAAUGGAGAUGAUGGAGAACAGCUUGCUGGGCUGAGUGGCAGGAGCCAUGCAGCUGCUGGGGCUGGAGUGGGUCAGGAAGCUUCAUCAAUCUGGGACACAUGACGUGCUUGGUGGUGGCGGAGCCUGACGCAUCCCUCUUCAUCGACAUUGUGUCAAUAGGAGCAGAGGCAUUUAGCUGUGUAAACACAGAGCUUCAGUGGCAGCACCCUAAAUGCUUAGCUGAUAGAUCCGGAAUUAAAUACAGACCUAGAAACUGGAGUUGGAAAACUUCCUGGCAGCACUCCUUCCCUGCCAUCCCGGUGAUCCCCUUCUGGAUGGAGGGUGUGGAGCUCAGCACAUUCACGUCUGCAGUUCUCAGAGAACCAAGUGUUAAGGAAUGUCAGGGAAGGAAGAAGGCAGCCAGCCAGGAAGGGGAGGUCCUGGCCUGAGCACGCCAGGCACAGAGGGAUAGAGGGUAGGGAGGAAACUGCACCUGUCUCCAACCCUCGACCCCAGCCCCGAAACACGACAUUGGCUGAAACAGAUUAAAAGCAUAAAAUGGCCCAAAGAAAUGGGAGAAGGUUGGCCUCUGGUCGGGCAAACAUGAGGGCAUGAAGAUAUAUAAUGUCCCACACGGGAGGAAACCCUUGCCGGGCCCCUCAGGAUUUAUAACAAGCUCACCUGAAGGAGAAACUUCAGGGGCACUUACACCAUCAGAUACCUAGAAAGGAGCUGUCAUUUCCUCACUGAAGAGUUUGCAAGCAGAUGGUAAAAGGGGUUUAAUUUGAAAACACUGAAACAUCGUGUUCGCUCAAAACCAUGACAAUUGCAGUUUUAUUGUCUCCACUCAGGAAAAUGUGUGUCUGGAUCAUCUUGUGGCCCGAAUGGGGAGAAAAGCAGCACAAGAAUGGAAUAGUACAGUGGCUACGAACACAGAAACCACACUCCAGGCCCAGUCCCCGGCAGUGGCCUCCAGGACCCACUCUGAGCUAGAUCACAUCAGUGAUGGGCUGGCCAAUCUUUAAGGAGAAUGACUCUACUCUUAGGAAGCCAGCAGGUUGGAGGAGGAAACACAUUCAAAUCCCGAGCACAAGGAGCUGGGAGAAGACCGGUUAUGGGAGCGGCAUUCCUGGAAGCUCUGAAGUCACAGCCCCACUGAUGAAAGGAUGUAAGAACCUAAGAGUGGAAACCUGCCCCUGGGAUUCAUAUGGUGUCCCCUCAGGACUCAAACCCUGGUCUGGUAUGCUCAGUAAAUGAAUGAAUAUACCCACUACACCCCAGGUUAUUUUUUUUCUGAAGACAUCGUUUGACACAGAGGGAACACUGUAGAUAAGAAGCCCAACCCUGUUAGAAAGCAGAAGGGUUUGUUUGGGAAAAGGAAACAAAAUAUAUUUUUAAGCUCCAUAAACAUAUGAUGAAUGCUAACAAGGUAUUUUCAAAAUAAGAAGCACAUAGAAACAGCUUAUGUUUCUGGUCAAAUGAAGUUGUAAUCAAAUCGUUAUCAAAGCAAAAAAAAAGAGAGGAAGAAAUCAAAAUGAGUCAGAAGAGUUUUUGGAAAGAUUCAGCAACUUAACUGACUUGAAGAGAUUUCCCUUGUCUCAGUCUUACUGCUGCUUCUAGGGGAACACAGUUUUGCACGGGAAUCGAGGCCAACUUGCAACCCACAGGCACUCUGGAGGAACAAAGAAAGUAUCGCCUGCAACUCACCACGGUCUCUCUCUCUUAAGCCCUUGCUCUUGCCAGAAGAAGUUUCACACAAAGGUUUGCCUGCGAGGCUGCGCUUUCCUCUCCAGAUCAGCAGAAACAACUUACCAGCAGAAAUACUUAAUGACGGAGCCAAGACUGGCACAGCCACGCGGUCACAGCUUUGUUCCCAAGAAGCAAGCCAAUUAGCAGCCCUGGUUAUUAUUUACAUUUCCCGCAAUAUAUCACUAAAAUUGUGUUGAUGAUUUAUCAUUUAUAUUAUGUUAUUGUCAGCAUAAUUUAUUCAGAUCAUGCUGAGAUACCUGGAAAAUUAAGUAAAAGAAAAAGAAGUGGCAUUGAAUUCAUCGGGUUUGAAAGAUAUUUCUCAGCUUCUUUUUUCUCUCCCUCUCUUUCUCUCUCUCUCUCUCUUUUAAUGAGGAUAGAUGUUAAGAAAAAUCAUGGAUCACUUAGCUAUUAAAUUGUUCCAGGAUCAUCUGCAUUAAAAGUUUGCUCAGUAUUCUUUUGUGAGAGAACAUGGCUUGGGCGUUCAUUUGGAUUUUCUUCUGGAACCUUUUCUUUCAGUCUAUUAUUUCAAAGUAAAAAAAAAAGGAAAUGCAAUCCUCUUUAGUUUAGAGCAAAGCAGAGUGGAUUAAUGAGGGGCUGGAGGCUUCUCUUCCAAUUUAUAAAACAUCCUUAUCUUCUGCCUUAUAUUCUAUUUGCCCCACCCUCUGGGAAAUAAUUGUUGCUUAUCAGAAUUAGAGAUAAAAUAUUCCAGUUGUUGAAGCCAUUCAUCAUCUAGGCAUUCUAGAAAAGCAGUUACUGAACUAGAGGCAGCAUUUUGAGCAUCAGAGCUCUGGGUUCUAGUCCCAGGUCUGUCCAGGCUUUGUGUGAUUCCAGGAGUCACUGAAGCUAUCCUGCUUCUGUUUCCCCAGCAGUGGGAUUCAUGGAUGUCCAGGAUCAGGCUUGCUGGGUCUGCCCCAGGUCUUCAGAAUCAGACUGCCUGGGGAAGGCACAUGGAGGUCUUUUUGACAGGUGUCAUAGGUGAUACUUCUACACACUUCAGUUAGAAAAGUCAUUGGGCUUACAUAUGCCUGCAGCCACUUCCAGCUCCAGUCUUCCUAGAGUUCUACGGACUCUAAUUAUAUGGCAUGUUUUGCAUAUUUCUGAAACUUCAUAUGGGAAACAAACUUUUGGAAAUUGAUUCAUUUAAGAAUCUGUGGCCAGGCGUGGUGGCUCACGACUGUAAUCCCAGCACUUUGGGAGGCUGA